GACGAACGCUGGCGGCGUGCUUAACACAUGCAAGUUGAACGGAAAGGCCCUGCUUUUGUGGGGUGCUCGAGUGGCGAACGGGUGAGUAACACGUGAGUAACCUGCCCUUGACUUUGGGAUAACUUCAGGAAACUGGGGCUACUACCGGAUAGGAGCUCCUGCUGCAUGGUGGGGGUUGGAAAGUUUCGGCGGUUGGGGAUGGACUCGCGGCUUAUCAGCUUGUUGGUGGGGUAGUGGCUUACCAAGGCUUUGACGGGUAGCCGGCCUGAGAGGGUGACCGGCCACAUUGGGACUGAGAUACGGCCCAGACUCCUACGGGAGGCAGCAGUGGGGAAUAUUGCACAAUGGGCGGAAGCCUGAUGCAGCAACGCCGCGUGCGGGAUGACGGCCUUCGGGUUGUAAACCGCUUUCGCCUGUGACGAAGCGUGAGUGACGGUAAUGGGUAAAGAAGCACCGGCUAACUACGUG
rnacentral:rRNA from 1 species